GACGAACGCUGGCGGCGUGCCUAAUACAUGCAAGUCGAGCGCAGGAAAUCAUCCGAACCCUUCGGGGGGACGUUGAUGGAAUGAGCGGCGGACGGGUGAGUAACACGUAAAGAACCUGCCCUCAGGUCUGGGAUAACCACGAGAAAUCGGGGCUAAUACCGGAUGGGUCAUCGGACCGCAUGGCCCGAGGAUGAAAGGCGCUUCGGCGCCGCCCGGGGAUGGCUUUGCGGUGCAUUAGCUAGUUGGUGGGGUAAUGGCCCACCAAGGCGACGAUGCAUAGCCGACCUGAGAGGGUGAUCGGCCACACUGGGACUGAGACACGGCCCAGACUCCUACGGGAGGCAGCAGUAGGGAAUCUUCCACAAUGGACGAAAGUCUGAUGGAGCAACGCCGCGUGAACGAUGAAGGCCUUCGGGUCGUAAAGUUCUGUUGUAAGGGAAGAACAAGUGCCGCAGGCAAUGGCGGCACCUUGACGGUACCUUGCGAGAAAGCCACGGCUAACUACGUGCCAGCCGCCGCAGUAA
rnacentral:rRNA from 1 species